AAAACAAAAGCUCUGAAUAAUGAAUAGCAUAACAGGAUAGCCUUGCACGAAUCCUAAGGCUGCUAUUUAAAAAGAGUCACUCAAAGUCACUGGGCCCUAUUACAAUACUCUGGCCCAAAACGAAAUAAACACUGAACAACAUAAAAUAAAAUUGCGAAAUUUCCUAAUUAACUAAGGUAAGCGCUGCUUAAUUUGUCCUCUUCAAGUCCAUAACCAAAAUCCGGAUUAAGCCCAAUGUUUCAUUAAUUCCUGAAAUUAGAUUAAAAACAUCAAAUUAGCUAAAUGAGCCCAAAUAAUAAAACUGCCUGAUUAAUUGACAAUUAAGACCAAUCAGUAAUUAAAAUGGUGCAAAAAGGGUUUAGAAAAUAGAAGAAAAUGAUGGCACAUCAGCGCCCUCUAUAAUACUCGCUAAGCUCUUCACUUAAACUCUUGCAAGAGUCAUGACUACUAAAGGAGGCAUGUUUUUCUUUUUUCAUUUCUUUCAUUAUUUUUCUUCUUUCUUCCUCUCUUAUUUUCUCUCUUUCAUCUUGACUGAUUUCUUCCACUCUUUUUUUACCUUUUUCUUUUCUCUCUUGUUUUUCUUUCCAGAACUUAAGGGAUCUCAACUCAUCUAAUAUCUUAUACAAGGGGUCCUUACGAGUAGAACCCUCACCAAUAACACUAGAUGAAGAAUGAAGACUCAUGUUGGUUCCUAAGUUAUGGUUCUUUCUUGUUGGGGGUUUGAAAACAAAAGGUAAAAGAAACUAUGGUUGAAACUAGCCAAAAUAAAUAGUAAAAGAGGUGUGAAAGAUAAGGUAAAAACUAAUUGGUAAAAGGCAAGCUAUCUAGGCGGUUAGACAAUGGAGGGUAAAGGAAAUAAGCUAUGAAAGUAAGCAAGAAAUGCAAACUAUGCGGAUGCUAAGAGUGUUUGGAUGACCUCAUUUAAGGUUCCCAACAAAACACUCACUAUCCUAAGGGAAAUUGCCUAAAAUUAUUACACACAAAUGGAAGUAGGGUGACCUAGCGGAGGCUCCCAACUUACUUCCAAUGAAAGGCCUUUUUGUACAAAAUUUGAAAGCAAAGCAAAUUGCCAAUUACAAAAUUACAAAGAAAAAAAGUCCUCAAUUGUGGUGGCUAUUCUCUCUUUAGUGUUUCACUCAAUUUGGAGUGCUUCUUAGUCCAAUAGCUCUUAAGGUGGUUGGCCCCUUGCUUCUUGACUCAAAAUUUUCAAGAUAUGGCACUAAUCCUCCUUUCCAAUUCUCUAUAUGGCAACUCACAAGCAAGGAAACAAAGAGACAAGCAAUAACCAAAGACAAAAAAAAAAUUAAAUGAAAGCUAAACCAAUAGAGUUUUAACAAGACAAAUUUUUAAGGAUUAUUCAACAAUUAAAGCAAUGAAAAGCACAAAAAAGCAAGCUAGGACUCAAAGAGAAACCUAGAAUGGCUCUAGAGUAGAGUAGAAAAACUAAAAAAAAAGACUCAAAGACUCAAGAAACCUCUAGUUUUGGCACUUGUUUUCACAAUAAUUUCAAUUGAAAUUUCAGAACUAGGAUUGGUAUAAAAUAGGCACCAAUUAUAGAACAAAUUUUGAGCCAAAACAACAAGCACACUUCCCUUUCACUUUUUUUUUCCUGGACACUGAUUUUUCUGCCAACUUGUGUGAUUUUUCUUAUUUUUUCCUUUAAUCUAAAUCGCUUGGUUCUCUUUUUAUAAUUUUUUUCCAGAUGUCUAGAAAAUUCAGUAAAAAUUUCAGCUCAAAAGACGUAGUGAAUAAUUCCCAGUAAUUUAUACAAUUUCGUAUGUUCAAGCUGCCAGCACCAGCGAUUUCAACCUAGAAAUCUGGAGUAGUGUUUAUGUUGCUUAAGGCUUGGAUAGUUACAAUUUGUGAUUUCUUGUGCUCAAUUAUCUUGAAUAACACAAUUCAAGAGAGCUUAAGACUUAUUUGAUUCACAAAUCCAGCCACAACUCAGCACCACAACUCAACUUCAUCAUAGGCAUCAUGUAGGAAACUUGGAAAACAAAAAAAAAGAGUUCAACAACAAGUCUACUUCUAGGAAUUGAUUUAGAACAUGUUAUGAACUAAAUAACAUGCAUGAAUUAGACUCAAAAUUCAAAAGAUAGGCUAAGAAUGACAAGAGUACAUAAACAAAUGUAUCUAGAAUUCAAUCAACAAAAUAAAAAUUCAACACAAACUUAGAACAUAAUGUGACAAUUACUAUGACUAAACAUGACUCUAAGACAACAUGGAUUAAGUGAUUUACACUUAGAUUUUUGUGUUUUUUUUUUCUAAUCAAAAUUUUGGAAGAAAAUUUAGAUCUAAGGUUAAACACAAGAAUAUUAUGAAUGAAAAAAUGAUAAAACCUAAAAUCAACAUAAAAACAUGAUUCAAGAGUAGAUCUACAAAAUUUGAACCAUAGAAAUACAAGAACAAGUGUAGAUCUAAGAUUUAAUCGACUUAUUUUUUUUUAAUCUACUCUAAACAGCACCAAACCACAAGACAAUGGAGGAUAUACAUGGAGAAUAAGAUGAAGAACAUGGAAUUAAAGAUAAUUCACUGAACAAAAAGAUAGAGGAAGCAAAAGAGCAUCACCUAGAUGAAGAUGCUCUUGAUACCACAUGAUGUAAGCUCCAUUGGAGCUUGUAGGCCUAGUGUCGCAACCUACCCUUCGGCGGGAGGGCGACGCGUGACUCGCGGGAUGCGUGUUCCACGAAAGGAAUACGCGCGGAGUCGCCACCAACGUUUAUUUGAGGAAAACGUCGGAAAAACCGGAAAAGACGCGAUCUACGAACUUUUAAGUGAAAGGUUCGGGAGUUGUAUUUACGCGCGGGGAAGGUAUUAGCACCCCACACGUCCGUCACAAGGGAUGACAGCCUUUAAUCGAAUGUGCAAACAUGACUUUGAUUUUUACGUUCCCUUUUAUGUCCUUAUAUCCUUUAUACCCUUUUUUUUUUUUCUCUUUUUGUGGUCGACAAGGGUGUUUCCCUUUGCUCCUACGUAUUCCUCAAUUGGGAUGAGAAAAUCAGACCUACGUAGUUCUUUCGGAACAAAGUGUUUGGUUUAAGUUUGUUUUUUGUCUUUUUUGCAAAAUAUGUUUUUUAUUUGAACAAAAGGUCAUUUAAGGUGUUGGACCAUUAAACGGUCUUUUGAUUUUGAAAGGAGAGAAACGUUAAGGCAUUGGACCAUUAACGAUCUCUUGUUUUUGAAAGGAGAGAAACGUUAAGGCAUUGGACCAUUAACGACCUCUUGUUUUUGAAAGGAGAGAAACGUUAAGGCAUUGGACCAUUAACGAUCUCUUGGGGUGGUCGACAAAAGCGGGGCUUUUGCUCCUACGUAUCCUCAAUUGCGAUGAGGAAAUCAGACCUACGUAGUUCUUGCAAAAGCGGUAAAGUCACAUGUUGAUUUUAUGCUUUUGAACGGUCCAUGUUAACCGAUAAAAGCAAAGAGGACCGUUUAAGGCGCUGGACCUUAAAACGGUUUUUAGUGAUUUUUUGGAAAAAAACUUGAUUUGUGAGUUGAUUUUAGUCUUAGUUUCACUUUGGUUUAUUAAUCAAUUCAUUCAAGGAAACUUCCAAAGAAAAACGUCCGAUUGAUUUUUUUUAUUAUUUUAUUCAAAGAUAUUUUGAUUAUUUUAUUAUUAUUUUUCAAGAUAUUUUGAUUAUUUUAUUAUUAUUUUACUUUUUUUGGUUUAACCGAGGUUAUAGCGUGAACGAUCGGUUAGAUUUCGUUUUAACAGUGAUUAAACGAGAUUACAACACAAAUGAUCGGUUGAAAUUCAUUUUAUCAUUUAUUAGACGAGAAAACGGCUUAAAUAAAUGGUUAAAGCACGUUAAAAACUGAAGAAAAGAAAACUGAAAGUAAACGAAAUUAAAGUGAAAGUACACAAAACAAGAAAUGAAUUGAAAGUCUCGGAUUCGAAAACUUACCCGUUGAAGAACGAAGAACGAACGAAGAACGGAUGAAGAACGGUGAAGAACGACGAAGAACGAUGAAGAAUUUCCACAGAAUCGCUUACGGAAGCAUUACGGAAGUACUUCGACUUGAUUUUUCUUCACGAAAACGUGUUUUUUGCCCAAAAUAGCCGAAAUGCA
rnacentral:lncRNA from 1 species